rnacentral:rRNA from 1 species
CCCUUAGAUGUUCUGGGCCGCACGCGUGCUACACUGAUGCAUUCAACGAGUCUAAAACCUGGUCUGAUAGGGCUGGGUAAUCUUUUGAAAGUGCAUCGUGAUUGGGAUAGAUGAUUGCAAUUCUUCAUCUUCAACGAGGAAUUCCUAGUAAACGCAAGUCAUCAGCUUGCAUUGAUUACGUCCCUGCCCUUUGUACACACCGCCCGUCGCUCCUACCGAUUGAAUGAUCCGAUGAAUACCAUGGAUUGAGAGUACGAAUAGGUUCGCUUAUUUCUGCUGCUCGAGAAGUGGAGUAAAUCUUAUCAUUUAGAGGAAGGAGAAGUCGUAACA